rnacentral:rRNA from 1 species
UACAGAGGGGGCAAGCGUUGUUCGGAAUUACUGGGCGUAAAGGGCGCGUAGGCGGCCCGCUAAGUCGAACGUGAAAUCCCCGAGCUCAACUCGGGAACUGCGUCCGAUACUGGCGGGCUUGAAUCCGGGAGAGGGAUGCGGAAUUCCAGGUGUAGCGGUGAAAUGCGUAGAUAUCGGGAGGAAUACCAGUGGCGAAGGCGGCUUACUGGCUCAUUCCUGACGCUGAGGAGCGAAAGCGUGGGGAGCGAACAGG